UAUCAAUACUAGUCUUCACAAAGA
rnacentral:snRNA from 1 species